CGCAUUCAGAAACGAAUGAGGCAGAAUGAAUCGCUUUACAGCGAUCUGUAUACUGGGACUUGCUGGUGCUAGUGUGGGCAAUACGCCGGAUUAUACUUUUGAAGAAAUAUUUUCUGAAAUGAAACCACAUGAAAAUAUAUGGGUGCAGCAGCGAAGUUAUCAAGGGGAGGGACUGAAAUGCAUUUUUAAUGAAAAAUUACUCUUGACAGGCAAAGACUACGUUUUUAACAAAUGCCACAAAUCAGGAGACAAAAUUGUCAAGACCGUAUCACACGGGAAAAUAUACGAAGUACAAAGAAAGCGUAACUGGAAAUCAGCUAUGAAUGUGAGCACAAACACAGAUUCCAUAAUCACAUACAUACUGCAGUUCUGGGACAAGAAAGAACUAUGCGGAGUUGUAACGUUCAGAGGCGUGAAUGGCAAUAAAGAAUGUGAACUACAUUCAAGGGCACGAAUUCGCCAACCUUAUAAAAAGUGCUUGGAUCGCUAUAGAAAUCACUGCACCGGUACAGAAUAUCUAAUUGACAACGUGAACUGCAAGUAAAAUCUAAAUAAUGAGUCCUUAGGAUGCUUAGGAUGCAAUGAAUAAAGGGCGUAUU